rnacentral:sRNA from 1 species
AAAUUAACAAUUACAAAUAUUUUAUUUCGUAAAAUUUAAUAAUUAAUACAAAUACUUAAAUUGUAAACAUACAUCGCAUAUAUUUUUAAUUUGUUUUCAAAAUGUUUUGUGGUUUUUAGGCAGUGAAUGGAGACACAGUAUUCGCGGAUUUUAAAGUGAGAGUGUGGAAAAACGUGACUUUUCACCAAUCAAUAAAACUAAAAGAUAAAUUGCGUUUUCCAAAAAA